GCGGCGGCUACGUAGCUGCCGCCGGCCUUGGCCGCGGCCGGGCGGGCGGAUAUGUGGCUUAAAUGGCGCAGGCGUCGGGGCCUAGAGGCUGAAGGGCUGGUCGUCCUAAAAACUCGUGGACGUCGCGCACGGUUACCCGGACGCAGGCCCGCCCCUCUGGGGAACCGCGAGCUCCUCGCAGCUGGGUGGGGACCGUCCUCGCAGUGGCGGCCUCCACCCUGCCUUCUCGCUUAGCCAAGGCUUCUGGAAGGCUCGCAAAGUGUCUGUUGUUGGAAGAAGCCGGGCCCUGACUGGCGCGACGGAUUCUCCCAGCCGCUCAGCAGAGCGUCUGUAGGUCGGAAGUGGGGGUUAAUAUGCUUUUUGUCUAAUGAUGUUAGAUAAAAAGCAAAUUUGGAGCAGUUUUCUUAUUCGAGUUCAAAAUGGUUCAUAAAGCAGCGAAGACAACUCAAAACAUCAGUAACACAUUUGGCCCAGGAACUGCUAACAAACAUACAGUGCAGUGGUGGCUUAAGAAGUUUUGCAAGGAAGAGAGCCUUGAAGAUGAGGAACGUGAUAUGGGCCAUGGGAAGUUGACAACGACCAAUUGAGAGCAAUCAUUGAACUACAUGAAAAAUUACAGAAGAACUCAGCGUUGACUAUUCUACGGUCAUUAGGGUCGUUCAGCAUUCGAAGCAAAUUGGAAAGGUGAAAAAGCUUGAUAAGUGGGUGCCUCAUGAGCUGAGCGGAAAUCAAAACUAUCGUUUUGAAGUGUAGUCUUCUUUUAUGCUACGCAACAACAAACCAUUUCUCAAUCGGAUUGUGACAUGUAAUGAAAAGUGAAUUUUAUACAACAACCAGCUCAGUGGUUGGACCAAGAGGCAGCUCCAAAGCAGUUCCCAAAGCCAAACUUGCACCAAAAAAAAGGUCAUGGUCACUGUUCGGUGGUCUGCUGCCCAUCUGAUCCACUACAGUUUUCUGAAUCCUGGUGAAACCAUUACAUCUGAGAAGUAUGCUCAGCAAAUUGGUAAGAUGCACCGAAAACUGCAAUACCUGCUGCCUGCAUUGGUCAACAGAAAGGGCCCAAUUCUUCUCCACGACAACACCUGACUGCGUGUCGCACAACCAGUGCUUCAAAAGUUGAAGGAAUUGGGCUACAAAGUUUUGCCUCAUCCACCAUAUUCACCUGACCUUUCGCCAACUGACUACCACUUCUGCUAGCAUCUUGACAACUUUUUGCAGGGAAAACACUUCAGCAUGGUGCAGAAAAUGCUUUCCAAGAGUUCGUCAAAUCCUGAAGCACGGAUUUUUAUGCUACAGGAAUAAACAAACAUUUCUCAUUGGCAAAAAUGUGUUGAUUGUAAUGGUUCCUGUUUUGAUUAAUAGAAUAUGUUUUAGCGUAGUUACAAUGAUUUAAAAUUCGCAGUCUGGAAAUUUAAUUUUUGCAUCAACCUAAUAUUUCUAUGGUAAAUCCUUGCAAACAUGGAAACAAUGCAUUUGGCCCAGUGCUUUGUGGUUGUGUACUCUUUUUCUUUGUUUUUUUAAUAGAUGGCAUUGGCCGGGCAUGGUGGCUCAUGCCUGUAAUCCCAGCAUUUUGGGAAGGUGAGGUGGGUGGAUCACCUGAGGUCAGGAGUUCAAGACCAGCCUGACUAACAUGGUAAAACCCCAUCUCUACUAAAAAUACAAAAAAAUUAGCUAGGCGGGGUGGCGGGCAUCUAAUUCCAGCUACUUCAUGAGGCUGCGACAGGAGAAUCAUUUGAACUCGGGAGGCAGAGGUUGCAGUGAGCCGAGAUCACACCAUUGCACUCCAGCCUGGGCGAUGAGCGAAACUGUCUC
rnacentral:lncRNA from 1 species